rnacentral:rRNA from 1 species
UACGUAGGGCGCAAGCGUUAUCCGGAAUUAUUGGGCGUAAAGAGCUCGUAGGCGGUUUGUCGCGUCUGCCGUGAAAACCCGGGGCUCAACUCCGGGCCUGCAGCCGAUACGGGCAGACUAGAGUUCGGCAGGGGAGACUGGAAUUCCUGGUGUAGCGGUGAAAUGCGCAGAUAUCAGGAGGAACACCGAUGGCGAAGGCAGGUCUCUGGGCAUUAACUGACGCUGAGGAGCGAAAGCAUGGGGAGCGAACAGG